UACGAGGGGUGCAAGCGUUGCUCGGAAUCAUUGGGCGUAAAGGGUAGGUAGGUGGUCCCGUUUGUCAGGGGUGAAAUCCUUGGGCUUAACCCAAGAAGUGCCCCUGAAACGGCGGGACUCGAGUUCUGGAGAGGUGGGUGGAAUUCCCGGUGUAGCGGUGAAAUGCGUAGAUAUCGAGAGGAACACCAGUGGCGAAGGCGAGUCCCUGGACACUUCCUGACACUGAGGCACGAAAGCUAGGGGAGCAAACAGG
rnacentral:rRNA from 1 species